rnacentral:rRNA from 1 species
UACGAAGAGGGCGAGCGUUGUUCGGAUUUACUGGGCGUAAAGGGCGCGCAGGCGGCUCAUUUUGUCAGGCGUGAAAGCCCCGGGCUUAACCUGGGAACUGCGUUUGAUACGGAUGGGCUAGAGUUCGGGAGAGGAGAGUGGAAUUCCCAGUGUAGAGGUGAAAUUCGUAGAUAUUGGGAAGAACACCGGUGGCGAAGGCGGCUCUCUGGACCGAUACUGACGCUGAGGCGCGAAAGCGUGGGGAGCAAACAGG